UUCAAAACAAACUCUGAACCAACUAUAUUCAUUUGGGGACGGGUUGAAACACAUUAAACAUUCAUGGGCAUUUAGUUAGCUAGCUUGUUGUUGCCAGCUCAUUUGUCCUGGGAUAUAACAUUGGGUUGUUUUUUACAUGGAAUGCACAUUGUCUUUUUUUUUUUUUAUGGAUCAUUGUAGAACAAAAUCAUGUGUUCUCUACUCCGACAAUUAAUCCACAGAUAAAAGGGGAAACCUAGUUAGUUUCUAGUAAUCUCUCGCAGUCUUCUUCUUCUGUGGACUUUAUAUGGUGGUUUGCAACCACCUUUAAGGUGCAUUACCACCAACUGGACCUCAGUUCAUCUUUCAAUCACCCAGGUGGCUAUAUGCUCCUGAAAACCAAUGAGGAGAUGGGAGAGGCGGGACUUGCAGUGCAUCAAGCAUCAAAAAUAGAACCAAGUUCUAUUUUAGCGCCUGGCUACGCAGACUUGCACGAGCAGUUAGGAUGAAAUGAUUGAAUAACAUUUACGUGUACAUUUAUUUUGCAAGGCUUGCGCAUGCAACGCGGGCAGUGUGGUCAGCAUGUAAGCCACCUCUGUUAUCCUUUACCAAAACGAAAUAUCUUGUUUUAACCCUUUCUAGUUACUGCUCCCUCCUCUGUGGCUCCAUACUGUCUAAGCAUUUGUGACUCAUACAGCUUUCCUUCCACCAGAUGCAAAGGCCUUCCUUCAUUAUUUGACUCCUCAAAACUACAACACCAUAUCAGCUUAUAAGUAGUGCUGCAGAUGAGGCUUUGAUGGUGAGUGGAUGUGAGGGAAGCUAGCAGAGGAUAGAUGCUGUCCUGAAAGACUUUGGUCACAUAGGAACUGUGGUAUUUCUGUCUACCUCGGCCUAGUACUCUUUUGAGGUUGUGGACAAGGCAAUGACGUCUAGCUUUUGUGCAUACAUCCUUUUUUUCAUGAAACGUGUUUAUUGCUACAUUAACAGGAUAUUGUGUAAUCUGUUUACAGGUAGCCAUGCCAACCCCAUUGGAGAUGUAUGUUUGAAGAUAAUCAUAGGAAAUCCUCCACCUAACCCAGAGAAACCCUCUCCAGGUCAGCAGCAACCCUGGAGUACCCUACUACCUGACAGGUGGAUCUGUCAGCACCCUAUACACUGUGCUGUGCUCUGGGUCUUCCCUCCCUCCCAGUCCUGA
rnacentral:lncRNA from 8 species